AUGGCGGUGCAGGGGGAGGGGGCGGGGCCGGAGCCGGAGGCGUCGGGCUUGUACUUGCGGGGCCGGCCGCGCUUCUUCCUGCCGAGGUCGUCGUGCGCGGCGGCGGCGGAGACGGAGGCCCCCAUCUGGCCCUGGGGAAUGUGGGGGUGGGGGUGGGGGUCGGGGCCCAUGGGGAAGGAGAAGACGUCGAGCGGGUGGUGGGUGCGGGGGUAGGCGUCAGGCGGCGGAGGGGAGGGAAAGGCAGGGGCUUGGGUGGCGGUGGAGGGGGUGGGGGAGGGGGAGGGGCGGUGGUGGACGUAGUAGGGGGAGGAGGAGGCCGCCAGGGAGGAGGAGUCGUCGGUGGAGUCCAUUCAUCCGACGGCGGGGGGGCGAGGGAGAGGAGGAGGAGGAGGGCGGCGGCAGCGGAAACCCUAGCUAGAUUCGCCGGCGAGGCAUGGGUGGAUGGAUUCCGGCGAGAGAGAAGGGGGAGGGGAGACGAGUGGAGGCCCAAACUCUUCUUUGCUAAAACCCUAGAAAAACAAGAGAUGAGAGAGUGGGGUUGGUUUUGGUUUUGGUUUUGGUUCCAUUCCAACCAACAACAUGACUCACCACAACCUCAAACACAUGUUUGGUGUUUCACCUCCCCUCCCCUCCCUCUCUCUCUCUCUCUCUCUCUCUCUCACGCACAAGCGUCGCCUCUUCAAAAAGGAAGUUGUCUUUUCUGCGAUUUCUACUACUCUCUCGGUCGUAAGACGUUUUCUUUCUUGACUUUAAUGUCAGACAGCCUCCGAGCCACCUUGCACCAAUGUGAACCCAGGCAGGAACGAUCCUCUACGGCCAUUCGAUGCACCCAUCAGAUGAAUCAAGGCCGUUAAUCACGCCCUGGCCAAAAGCGUCGGAAUGCAUAAUGCAGUGUCAAAAACCGUCUUACAUUAUGAAACAGGGGGAGUAGUUUCUACUGGCAUACAAAGGCUUAUUAUGUGAGUGGCAUACCAGGCUUCUUAUGCUAGGUAUAUGUUAAUACUAUAUUAUUGUGUUGCACUGGCAUCUCAUCUCCCGCUACAUGGUCCACGGAAUCGUAUUGAAGAGCGCUAGUUUUACAGCUAGAGGGUGAUAUCGGUGUGAUGGAAUCCGGGAAAGAAGCAAUCGGUGGGACGUGUGCACGAACAGUCAAUUCAGUACAGCUACUACUUACCUAUGAGAAACAAUUGUGCAAAAAGUUACAUACAUGAAUGCUCAUGUUUACCCGUACUUGUAAAUUUCCGUAUUAUGAGGGUUGGGUGGGGGGAGGUCGUUUGGUGCCAAGAGAGAACAAUAAACUUCGGCGCUCUAAAAGAGCAAGAAAUCCAAAAGCAAGUUUUACAAGCAAAUGUACAUGCCUAAAUUUUAAACAUUUGGAAAGAAAAAAAAAUGUGAUCUUCCAAUGGGCCUUUGAAUUUUCAUUGAAUCUAUGAUAUGUUCCUUGUACAAGCGAUGCAGGUAAAUGUACCAAUCAAUAUAAAAGCGCAUGUUCUAUAAAUUUUAAACGCGCCUGGAA